GAUAAUAAAAAAUUAAAUCUGAUAAAUGUAUCGAUAAAAAGCAGAGCUUGGCGACGCAUGCGCAUUUAUCAUAAUUCUCUCGCUCUCUCUGUCUCUGCCCCUCCCUCACGAAUGCUGCUGCACGCACAGUUUUGUUUUUAACCCCUUCUUAACCCUGAACAUACAUUGAAAAUACACGCAACCCUAACUCAAAAUGCCGGACAUUUGAGGCAUUUAAGAUACUCCGCCCGGACCCAGGCCCGCAAAAGAGGACAUGUCCAGGGGAAAGAGGACGUAUGGUCAGUCUAGAGGCCCAAAAGAUUCUUCUUGUCCUCCAGGGUGGAACAGGACGAGCCUGAGAGCCCCACAUCAAAGAAGAAUAAGAUGAUGGGGAGGAGCCGAGUCCCACUUGUCCUGGCUGAUGGGGACUGAUCCAACAGGACAGGUCCAGGAUCGACAGACGCGCACUCUCACAUCAAACCUUUCACCUGCAACAAGACCUUCCUCAAGUAAGUCGUACUUGAGGAAGCACCUGAAAGUUCCCUUGCUCGCUGUGCGCCAAAAGGUUCAAGCAGCACCGAGAACUCGUUGCUCACUUCCGGGUCCACACCGGAGAGAAACCUUUCCGCUGCACCAUUUGUCACAAGCGCUUCCAAUACAGCGGACACAUGAGACUCCACACAAAACUGUGAACGUUUGGACUCUCCUGACUUGUUAUUUCUUAAUUUCCAUCCAUCCAUUUUCUACCGCUUGUCCCUUUUGGAGUCGCGGGGGGUGCUGGAGCCUAUCUAAGCUGCAUUCGGGCGAAAGGCGGGGUACACCCUGGACAUGUUGCCACCUCAUCACAGGACCAACACAGAUAGACAGACAACAUUCACACUCACAUUCACACACUAGGGCCAAUUUAGUGUUGCCAAUCAACCUAUCCCCAGGUGCAUUUAUCAUUACGAUUUAUUUUGUCUUGACAAAGUCUACUGUAUUACGUUAUGCCUUAGGAGCCGCGGUAGACAAUGAGCCGAUAACUCAGGGCUUUUACUCAUUGUCUAGUGCUUGUACUUAACUUUGAUUCAUCGGGGAGCCGUGGUCGCUGGUUCUAUGCUGAUUCCAGAGGCUGGACUGUGCAGACAGGCUCACUUCUUGCUUCAGGAAAAAACAUUUAUAGUCCUGGUUGAAGUUAGAAAACAGGUUUUCUGAUGUUGUUUGACUUGUUCCAACAAAAUAAAGUCAAUAGUUAAUUGAAUCACAUCAACAAAACUAGGGAUGUCCGAUAAUAUCGGCAGUCUGAUAUUAUGGGACAUCCCUUAAAGCCGAUAAAUGCUUUAAAAUGUAAUAUCGGAAAUGAUCGGUAUUGGUUUCAAAAUUAUCGGUAUCAAAAAGUAAAAUGUAUGACUUUUUAAAACUCCGCUGUGUACACGGACGUAGGGAGAAGUACAGAGCGCCAAUAAACCUUAAAGGCACUUCCUUUGCGUGCCGACCCAGUCACAUAAUAUCUACGGCUUUUCACACACACAAGUGAAUGCAACGCAUACUUGGUCAAUAGCCAUACAGGUCACACUAAGGGUGGUCGUAUAAACAACUUUAACACUGUUACAAAUAUGCGCCACACUGUGAACCCACACCAAACAAGAAUGAUAAACACAUUUCGGGAGAACAUCCGCACCGUAACACAACAUAAACACAACAGAACAAAUACCCAGAACCCCUUGCAGCACUAACUCUUCCAGGACGCUACAAUAUUCACCCCCCGCUACCCCGCCCCACCGCCCCCCAACCCCGCCCACCUCAACCUCCUCAUGUCCCAAAUUCCAAGCUGCUGUUUUGAGGCAUGUUGAAAAAAAUAAUGCACUUUGUGACUUCAAUAAUAAAUAUGGCAGUGCCAUGUUGGCAUUUUUUUCCAUAA